rnacentral:rRNA from 1 species
AUUGAACGCUGGCGGCAUGCCUUACACAUGCAAGUCGAACGCGAAAGGGGGGCAACCCCCGAGUAGAGUGGCGGACGGGUGAGUAAUACAUCGGAACGUACCCAGUAGUGGGGGAGAACCUCGAGAAAUCGAGGCUACUACCGCAUACGACCCACGGGUGAAAGCGGGGGAUCGCAAGGACUCGCGCUAUUGGAGCGGCAGAAGUCCGAUUAGCAGAGUGGGGGGGUAAGAGCCCACCAAGGCGACGAUCGGUAGCGGGUCUGAGAGGACGACCAGCCACACUGGGACUGAGACACGGCCCAGACUCCUACGGGAGGCAGCAGUGGGGAAUUUUGGACAAUGGGGGCAACCCUGAUCCAGCCAUGCCGCGUGCGGGAAGAAGGCCUUCGGGUUGUAAACCGCUUUCGGCCGGAACGAAAUCGCCGGGGAGAACAUCCCCGGUGGAUGACGGUACCGGAAGAAGAAGCACCGGCUAACUACGUGCCAGCCGCCGCAGUAAUAC